rnacentral:rRNA from 1 species
CCUACGGGAGGCAGCAGUGGGGAAUAUUGGACAAUGGGCGAAAGCCUGAUCCAGCAAUGCCGCGUGAGUGAUGAAGGCCUUAGGGUUGUAAAGCUCUUUUACCAGGGAUGAUAAUGACAGUACCUGGAGAAUAAGCUCCGGCUAACUCCGUGCCAGCAGCCGCGGUAAUACGGAGGGAGCUAGCGUUGUUCGGAAUUACUGGGCGUAAAGCGUGCGUAGGCGGCGAUUCAAGUCAGAGGUGAAAGCCUGGAGCUCAACUCCAGAACUGCCUUUGAAACUAGACUGCUAGAAUCAUGGAGAGGUGAGUGGAAUUCCGAGUGUAGAGGUGAAAUUCGUAGAUAUUCGGAAGAACACCAGUGGCGAAGGCGGCUCACUGGACAUGUAUUGACGCUGAGGCACGAAAGCGUGGGGAGCAAACAGGAUUAGAUACCCUGGUAGUCCACGCCGUAAACGAUGAUAACUAGCUGCCAGGGCUCAUAGAGCUUUGGUGGCGCAGCUAACGCAUUAAGUUAUCCGCCUGGGGAGUACGGUCGCAAGAUUAAAACUCAAAUGAAAUUGACGG